GCUUUCUCAGCCAUUUGUAAAAUGUAGAUCCAGAGUAGGGGAUGAGGGUGAGAAAUAUGGAAUAACAAUGCAUAACAUUUUAAAUAAUGUUUUACUAUCUAUAAAACACUUCACAUAGGAUUGGGGGAGGAAACUAUGCCAAGAGAUAUCAUUUUAUUAUGAGAAGUGAAUAUCCUCACAUCCCGUUAAAAUUCCUCAGUGCAAUUCCUAUACCGAUAGGAUAAAAUCUAAACUCCUUUGUAAGGCAUACAAUGCUUUUUAUGAUAUGAUUCCUGUCUACAUUGUCGAGCUCCUUUCCAGUCUCUUCCCUCUGCCUAAUUUCACUUUCUGGCCUGAGGACCACAAAUUCUCUCAUUCCUGCAAGCUUUUCCAUGUAGAGUUCCUUGGCUUGGGCAAUGUCUACUCAUUCUUCAUGUUUCAGUGCAAAUACGACCUUCUCUGUGAAUCCUUCCUUCACUUCCCCAUAUAGAGCCUGGCUCCCAGUCUUGCCAACAUCUCUGCUUAUACUGUGUACUCACUCCACCAAUUCUAUUUUAAUUGUUUAAAUGCCUAGUGUUUCUUCUCAUUAGAAAAUAAAGACCAUGGCUGCCGGGCAACUGCUUCCUGACAGCUCCAGUUAAUGGGACUGCCAGCAGGCUAGACAUCCUUUGCCAGAAACUGCAGCGCUUAGUUCUGUGCCCAGUUCUGUGCCUGAGAGGGGAUUCUGCCUGUUUUGGGAUUGGAGUGGGGCAUUGCCGCCAGAAAACCUGCAGAAUUCCGGGUUGUGCAGCCAAGCAGGAACAGGUGUACUUUACUAGACCCAUCCUCUUGCAAUCUUGGACCUUAAGGAAAGAUGUGGAGUGGGCUGCUACCUCCUGGCCUAAAUGAAAGUGAUGCUGAGUCAAACUCUGAAGAUGAAGUUACGUUGGAGAACUCUGGACUUACCUUACAGGAAGAUAAACAGGAUGAGAGUCUCAGAAAAACAGAAAUCAUAGGUUUCUCAACAGAUGAACCAAAAACUGAAACAGAGUCAAAUGUAAAUGCCUAUGAAAAGUGUCCUUCUGGAAUUCCCAUAGACAUGUGGAAUACAUUUCAAGAAUUGCAUAAAAAACAUUCUGAACAGAAAAGCACAACCUCAAGAUUCAGAGGGAAAAAAAGAAAACGCUCCAGAAAAGAUAAAUUGAAGAAUGAAAAAGAAUCUCAUAGUGAACCAUCCUCAAAUGAAACCCAAUGGAAGGAGCUUACUCAGUAUUUUGGAGUCAAUGAUAGAUCUGACCUGCCUGUUAAAAGGAAAAAAGUUGAGAAGUCAGGCCUUGAAAAAGAGAAUAGACCAGGCUGUGGAGGAGUGGAAUAUUGAGAAGGCUGAGGAACUUAGCAACCAGCUAGCUACUCGAGAGCUUGGUAUAAAAAUUGCCAAAGCAGUUGCCUGCCACAACUUUGUAAAAGCCAAAAAGGAGGUUGAAAAUUCACAGGCUGCCCGAAAAAUGAAGAAACUCACAUGGGGGUUUGAAGCAAAGAAGAGAUGGGAAACCAAAAGCAACAUGGGAUACACGUAACUUGCCAGAGUGCUUCAAGACAUUUGUAGACUCGGAUGCUCAAUUUACUGAGAAUGUUUUCCUGCCUACGUUAAUAUGUCAGAAAAUUGAUAGCACUAAAACAAGAAUAAGCAUAAAAUUUGGGAUUUUGAUUAUCA